GAAUUUCUACAGUUGCAGAAAAUGGAGCUUGGGCACAAGAGAGGAGUCGGCUGCUCUGUCUCCUGGUGGUUCCAUCAGCAACUGGGUUUGUGUGCUAUCUGUGUGGGAACUGGUCCCUGAACACGAAGGGUGAGACAAAGUACACCUGGGAUGGGCCCCCUUUCUUUGCCGGCCAUGCACCCCAGGGAUGGGCUCCCUCUCCUUGACCAUCAUGAAUUCUUCCGAGGUAAAGUCGAAGACAUUUCCACCUUCAUGUUCCUGAACCGAGAACACGGAGCACACUAGAGUGCUGGCCCACGGGCUACUGCUGUAGCUUGGUGAGAGAACUCUUACUUAGCGCUCAUGAGGCUCUCCCUGGGCUCAAUCCCCGGAAAAGAUGGACAAGAAAUGAGAGUCUGGGAAGAUGGGGAGAGGAGAGGAAAAGGCGGGAAUAAAGAAGUAGCCGCAUCACAGAGUUAUGCCCACAGACUGUGCGGUGGCUGUGAGGUGGAAAUGGCCACUUUACGAUCCGGACCUGGGAUGAGAGAGGGUCCACCCCAUGGUCUGAGAUUCCCUUCGCUCUGGCCAGUCUAUCUGACAUGAUAAUCAGAGGACCUGAGAUCUAUGAGAAAUGAAAGAAAGACCUCAAUUUAGCAUAAAUCAGCAACUAUUGGGGUGUGUGCUGGUCCCCCAGAAAACAGAAUAAUUAACCCUUAUGCUUUGAUCGAAUAUCCAAUGCUGUUUCCCAGCUCCCAGGAAGAGCACACAGUACCAAAUGUCCCACACCCAUGCUGUUCAGAAGGAGCCCAAAUGCGCCAGAAGAACAUCUCGGGACCAGACCAACUGUAGGCACAUUGAUAGGACAGGUGAGGUGACCUGGAGUCUCUAUGCCGAUGCCUUCUGCAUUCCGGUCCUCCAGCAGAAUGCGUGGCUGCGGGCAGGCUCUGGCAGGCACGCUUCAGUGAGUCAGCCCAAUGUUACUGUGUGAAGACUCAGAGACAAGCCUUGCUUUCUUGUCCAUUUCCUAGAACUGGGCUUCUCCAAGGCUUACUCUGCAAAUAUCCAGCACCAAAGAACCCCAAACUAUUUAAAAUAAACUCAUUUCUGGCUUA